UAGGAUAAUAGUUAAAUAUAAUAUUUAAUUUGCAAUUAAAAGAUAUUGAAAUUUCAAUUUAUCUU
rnacentral:tRNA from 1 species